CCUUUCCCGCCCUCCGAGGCCUCAACGGCCGUUCGCCUGCUCGGAGGGGAGGGGAGUGGGGCGGAACCGCCCCCGCCUUUCUCCCUCAGCGCGGCGGUAAAUGGCCUCUGGCGCCCGCGGGGGAGAUGUGUCUGAUCGCCGAGGGGAAGGAGACUUCUGCGGGUCCCGCCCGGAUUGGUGCUUCCUGCGCUGUUCUCCCCCCGCCCCGAGCGCCAUGAAAGAUUUGCACGCCCGCUUCCCCCACGUCCUUCCAGCAGGACGUAGCUGGCAAGGAAAACUCACUUCCUCCUCCCCGCCCCCGUGGGCUAAAAGAGGUUAGACAUUCCUUGGAGUAGCAUCUGGCACCACUGAUGAUACCUUGGAUCUCUUGAUAGAGGAUGGAAUUUUCUGCAUAGCAACUCAUUUUAAUUAAUGACUUGCAUAAUAAUAAUUGUCCUUGUAGAGACACACAGAACUGAGGUUUGCCUUGGCUUUUGUAUUCUGACACUGUGUCUUUGGACUUGACCCCAGGACAGGUCCAGCCAUUAGCUCUCAAGGUCCUGACAAAGAAGGUGAUAACUUCAGCAAUUAGCACUGUUUCAGCAGUGCACAGGAAUGCAAAUUGCUGGUAACGCCCUUAUCAUUCCCGC